rnacentral:rRNA from 1 species
UGGGCAACCUGCCUUCAGCUCUGGGAUAACUCCGGGAAACCGGGGCUAAUACCGGAUAUGACCACUCCUGGCAUCUGGGGUGGUGGAAAGUUCUUCGGCUGAGGAUGGGCCCGCGGCCUAUCAGCUUGUUGGUGGGGUUACGGCCCACCAAGGCGACGACGGGUAGCCGGCCUGAGAGGGUGACCGGCCACACUGGGACUGAGACACGGCCCAGACCUCCUACGGGAGGCA